rnacentral:rRNA from 1 species
UCAGGAUGAACGCUGGCGGCGUGCCUAACACAUGCAAGUCGAACGGUAGCUUUUAAUGAACAAGACUUCGGUCAAGUAAAUCUAAGCUUAGUGGCGGACGGGUGAGUAACGCGUGAGUAACCUGCCUUUCAGAGGGGGAUAACGUUCGGAAACGAACGCUAAUACCGCAUAACAUAGCGGAACCGCAUGAUUCUGCUAUCAAAGAUUUUAUCGCUGAGAGAUGGACUCGCGUCCGAUUAGGAGUUGGUGAGGUAAGGCCCACCAAGCCGACGAUCGGUAGCCGGACUGAGAGGUUGAACGGCCACAUUGGGACUGAGACACGGCCCAGACUCCUACGGGAGGCAGCGGUGGGGAAUAUUGCACAAUGGGCGCAAGCCUGAUGCAGCAACGCCGCGUGAGGGAAGACGGUUUUCGGAUUGUAAACCUCUGUUCUUAGUGACGAAGAAGUGACGGUAGCUAAGGAGCAAGCCACGGCUAACUACGUGCCAGCAGCGGC